UACGUAGGGACCAAGCGUUGUUCGGAUUUACUGGGCGUAAAGGGCGCGUAGGCGGCAAUUCAAGUCAUCUGUGAAAUCUCCGGGCUUAACCCGGAACGGUCAGGUGAUACUGUUUUGCUAGAGUGCGGAAGGGGCAAUCGGAAUUCUCGGUGUAGCGGUGAAAUGCGUAGAUAUCGAGAGGAACACCAGAGGUGAAGACGGGUUGCUGGGCCGACACUGAAGCUGACAGCGCGAAAGCCAGGGGAGCAAACGGG
rnacentral:rRNA from 1 species